AGAGCCGCUGGAGUCAGCACCUGGGAGGAGGGCAGCAGCUCGGCUUACAACCGAGGUGCCUGAAUGUCAGACAAGGUCUUUGGGCAGGGAGGAAGAAGCCGGCUGGCUUCCAGCGCUAAGGGAAAAGGGCUUAUGCCCACAGCGCUUAUCUGAUACCCAGGGUCGGGGCAGGGGGGCAUGUUGGAAGUUGGAGUUAAGUGGAUUUGUACAUAGCGCAGGAGCAAGAAACAGCACAGAGGAUUCCUCAGAGUGUUGGAAUUAACCUUCAGGUCUAAUGUUCCUGUAGUUUUCAAAUCACACUGAGCUUGGUCUGUUUGAGGAAGCAGUUGCCAAGAGAAAAUAUAAAAUUUUGCCAGAAGAAAUAAUAUUUUCCUUAUAUUUUCUGUAAAAUUGUCAGCAUUAUUUUAAGGUACCUUUUAAAUGCCUAUAAACACCACUGAAAAUCUGUUUUACCUGAGGAGUUAAAUAUCAGCUUUAUGCUACAACGACAGCUCCUGAUCCUUCAGGAUUUAAAGAAAAAGUUUCUGUUUGAGAAGGUGACUAAUGACCUCCUAUGGGACUAUGUGUUGAAGCAAUUUCUUUAAGCUUACCCAGAGGCACAAUGAAUAGUUAACAAGUCUACAAGGAUGGAUAUAGCUUCUACAAGAGCAACUGAGAAGAAUGUUCUCUUUUCCAUCCCGAGGUAGCAUCUGCUCCAGUGGUUUGGGAACUGAAAAUGUAGGUUCAGCCACCUUACAGAACAUGAAUGAACCUAUUCCAGUUGCACUUCUAUUACAUAAAUCCACAGCUAAGUCCACUUAUGGAGGAGCCACUGCUAAGGCCAUAAUUUGUGAGAAGGACUGGCAGAAGGACCUCACACCAAGGUGGAGCUGAUGGUUUGAAAUCAGUAUGGGAGUAGGGGGCUCCCCACAGGCUAGAGCUGUGAUCUGAAUCUUAUCAGUUUCUGUUGGCUAACGCGUGCCACUUGCAUAGCUUGCUGGCUUUGGGGGUAUCAUAUGCCUAGAGCCUACUAGCCACGUAACUCAGAGCUGAGGUAUCCUGACAGUUGAGUGGUUUAAUAAUGAGUUAAAACUUCCUUGUGAGCCUAGCUCUGGAUUUCACAUUUUCAGUCUCCACUGUAGUUGGCUGUAUUUCAGGAAGGAACGAUGGAAGAAUUGUUGCUAUUUUAUAUUGUUGCUAAGAUGCCAAGGUUUCUGGACAUCUUCCAAAGGUGAGCGUUAUCUCAGUGGGUCAGCUGCCAAGAAAACUCUUGCUUCUUGUACACACAGGUUUUACCCUUGUGAUUCAUGGUGUCAUUAUUUCAAUGGAUGUAGCCGUCACAAGAGAUUAUGGCCAGACUUACACUGCCCUUCAGGUAACAUGAAUCCAGAGACCUGAAAUCUUGAAUGGGAGCUGGUAUUUAUAAUCUAGUUAAAUAAGACUUAGGUACCAACUAAGUUCUCAGAUGACCUCUCUCAGUAGAUGUUAUAUGUAACUGAAUGGCUAACUGGUCUGAAGCCAUUCAAGCUGAUGGUUUCAGGGUUAUGUAUAGAAGACUUUUCUCAACAGUCACAAAAUUAUGUGGCCACAAACAGACCACAAGUCCACAUUGGAGAGGACUGUCUGCAGUCAUGCACAUGAAAAGAACUCUUUCCUAGCCAUGACUCUGAGUAUUCAGACAUAGAGCUAGACAUUUUCAGUGUUUACUCAGCUUUUUAGGGGGAGAGGAGACAAACAGGUCCUUGUCAAAAUUAAAAAAAAAAUAUUGAAAUAAAAGAAAAUGUUUGUUUAAAUAAAGGCUCUUUCAUUUAGAGAAUGAGCUUGAACAAAGCAUUUCAACUCUUCAGAACUAUCUGAAAACGAGUGAUUCAGUCCCAUAUGAAAAUAUUGUAUCAAAGAGAAGAUUAUAAUCUUUAAUUGCUCCUCUACCAUGCCAUUUCUGACUCCUCUCCAGAGUUUGAGAAACAGUCAGCAUCAGCAGGGUGAAUCAUCCAUACUGUGUUCAGCCCUGUUUGGCAAACUGCAAACAGCCAUCUCCUGGGACUCUGCUCCAGUUUGCACGCUUAUGCCUGCUGGAGGCCCUAGCUAAAAUAAGGAACACCACAACUGCAAUGUGCAUUUAUUCUGCUUCCUGACAAAAUAAAAGUAGAUGAAUACAAAAUAGUCUUUGAGGGGUGGAAGGCAGGAUGUUUGGGGAGUGAGGAUAUCUGAAGGAGAACCUUUUAAACUUUCUGAAGGCUGGUGAAGAGCAUGAGACAGAAGUGUGGUCAGCAGAGCAAUUUAUGUGGAAACUUGCUGGACUCCUUGUGGGAAUCACAAAAGGGUUUAUAUAUUUGGAGUCAAAGGUUAAAUCAAGGGUGAACCACCUCCAGUGGAGUUUAUUCCUCACUUCUAAUUUGGGUAGUUUACACUCUUCUCACAUAUGCCAAGUAAGAAAAUCUAUCCACGCUUCAUUUUCUAUUACUGAGUUGUUUUCAGUCACUAACUUUUCAUUGUUUCUUUCUUAAGGAUAUUGAAUUUAUCACAAGACUAGAAGCUGACAUUCUAGGAAUUUUAUAGUAUGAAACAUGCCAUCUACUAAGUGAGAUAACUGUAGUGGGAAAAAAAAUCAUGUUUCCUAAGAGGCCAUUGAGCAGUGUGCAGCUAAAUCUGGCAGAGAACUGAAUGCUUGCAUUUUCCAUUGAUGUCAGCUCUCAGGACAGUGUCUUAUAAAGUGGGAUGCUGUCUGAAGUAUUGCAGACUGGCAGUGAGUGGGUAGAUUUAAAAUAGGUUACGAAAUUAGUGACAUAAGGGAACACAUAGCCUGAAAGGAUGAUGUUUUUAAUGCGUCUUGAUACUUUGCUAUGUAUUCAGAGCCACCCUACUAAGUGUAUUGGGUGUUUUUGCAAUGUUUAUAACCAAAAAGCUCUGCUACAUCAUUCCUAUAACCCAGAAUUAUUUUAAUUUUUCUGACAGGCAGGCAGUUUUGAGGUUCUAUUACCCUUUACAAGUCCUAAUAAAUGGAUAAUCAGUGGGAGCACAUCUCUAGUCACUCUUCUGUGACUAUUUGAGAUUACCUGAUCUAGAGAGAUCUAAUGACAGUAAUUCUAUUGCUUCCAAGGGUGUCUCAUUGAAUCAGUCUGUUCCUUUCCUGACAGGCUGCUUUCUAUAUAUUAUAACAGAACACACUGGACUUUGAACUGCCAACUCUAUCUAAAAUUACAUGAAAUCUCUGUUAUCUGGAAUCAGUUCAUUCACUAAGUGAAAGUCACCUUGAAAUGCUUUGAAUGUCCUUGAUUCCCUCAAAUAUGCAUUUGAUUUCCAAAUUCAGUGAUUAUUGCUUGUAAUAACAUCAAGCGAAAUAUGCAAGAAGACAGGAAGUGUUAAUGAUGGCUCACAAGGCGAGGUUUCCAGCAGAAGUCUGACCAAAAGAAUCAAAGUCAGUUCCCGUUUAAGACCAGGAAUAAAUUGCAGAGCUCUUUUUAGCUAUUCCAGCUUGUGACUCACUAUGCAAAGCAGUGUUGGCUCUAAGACAUCUUUCUGUUUCACCCAGCAAUAGAACUAGCCUGGAGACUAAAGAGUAGCAGGAUGCAGGGAACUAUCAGCUAUGAAAAAUGUCACAAUUUAUGGAACUUUUAAAAAUAAUAAACUGAAGCACCAAAAAGACAAAGGUUUCACUUUUGUAAUAUUUUUUUAAAUUGGCUUCUGGUUUUCCUUAAUUUCUUCUCCAAAUGAAAUUUACCACAGAAAAUGUAGCCAUUUUUGAGUUUGUUGUAGGCUGACAAAAAUGUGUUGACUUACUCACUGCUUUGCCCUAUUGUUCAUCUAGAAACACUAGAAAACACUAGAAAACCUAGAAAAAAACUUCUUUCCUGUGCGGGUGCCAGAGCAGUGGAACCAGCUGCCCAGGGAGGCUGUGGAGUCUCCUUCCCUGGAGACAUUCAAAACUCACAUUGGACGUGUUCCUGUGCCCCCUGCUCUGGGUGUCCCUGCUCAAGCAGGGGGGUUGGACAAGAUGAUCUCCAGAGGUCCCUUCCAACCCUGUGAUUCUGUGAUUCAUUUUCUUUCAUUCUGUAGGGGACUGAGAUCUUUCAAUCCCUCAAAGGAAGGAUUCUGGAUCAGCUGGGAUGAGAUGUUCUCAUGAAAAUAUUCAGAUAUGCAAUUAUUAUGUGAUACGUCCUUACAUGUCCUCAGAGCUCACUAAGUCAUAUGAUACUCCGUUCCCCUGUGGAAAAGCCAGCCUAUAAUCUUCCCUUCCCCCAUUUCGUGGGAGAAGUCAGUUGAGAUAUAUGCAAAGGGUGUGGGCAAUUUAGGUCAAAUACAGGGAUGAGGUAAGACGCUUUGUAAUCUAUGCAUUGUUUAUUGGGUGUAAAUGAUGCUGGAUGGCUAGAUCCUGUGAGUUUCUGGUAGUCACUGUCUUGAACAAAAUCGAGCUACCCCAUGGCAGCGUCUACAGAAAAGCAGCAACAGUCUCCCUGGUCUCUUUCCGCUGUCGAGAGGAUGUACAUUUGCUGGUUAGGUCCUUGAAAUAAAAAAGUUUUCAGAUUCCCUGAAGGCUUCCUGUUGCUGGAAAUGCAUGGAUUUAACAAACCUCUGGCAGCUUCACCUGUAAAACCAGAAAAUAACCCUGCCUCUUAUGUGUUAUUAACAGGAAUCCCCCAUGUCAUUCUUUCCGAAAUUUCAAAUCUUAGGGAUAUUCUGCCCCACAAGAGCCAGAUGGGGAGGUAAUUGUCAUUACACGUUGCAGUGCAGUGUAACGGCUUUAUUUAUCUCUGUGUACUGUAAAAGUGAAAGGAGAAUGCCCAAGCCAUAAAGCCUUUGCUUGUCCUUCUGAAUUCCUCAAGAAGGGAAGCUAACCUUUUAAUCAAGAUCUACCAAUGAUAUAUUUUCACCUUUGCACCCUUUCACUCCUUUAAAAAUUGGCAACUGUGUCUACAUCUGUGUCUACAUUUUUGGGGGAAAUAUAUAAUUCGAAGUCAAAAAAAUAUAUAUUGAAGAUAUAUUAAGAUUUAGGUGGCCUAAUCUAAAUAUUCCAUUCUUUCAUUAUGAUUUAAGUCUUCUGGGUGAUUUGUACAGUAGAUAAUAUACAAUGACAAUGCAGCUGAUCACAUUGAUUAUCACUAGGCUCUUAAACUCCAGAGGAUCUCUACCACUUGACCGACAACCAAAAAAUUUCAACAAGAAAACUUUUCCAGGAGAAUGCUAUAAAGAGAUCUCAUCCGGGUCUAUCAAAUCCAGCAGAAUAUCCCCAUGUUGUCAAUAAACUUUGGCCUAAGACCUUAACUAGGGAAACUUAUUUCAAUGUUUUUGCACCAUUAACCCCUGGCAGUUGCAUGAUAACAGGUCUCUUAAUAAACCCUUUUAUUAAAUGCUUCAUGCAGUUUGUGACAAUAUGCCAGUAUAUAUGUACCUUAUUUUAUACCACUUGUCUUCUUCUUCUAAGACAUUUACAUUCUGCAGGAAAAAAACCCCAACGACUCAUAGGAAUACAUUUUUUAAAAUCGUUUAUAAUAUUGCUUCUUAAGUGCACUUCUAAGUUCCACUGCAUGCAGACAGAUAUGAGAGAGUAUUUUUUUGUUUGUUCAUUAAGUGUCCAUGGAGAUAUACAAAGUGAAUAAAACAUGAAGGAGAGGCCACAAUGGUGUUAUUCCGGUGAGAGAAUCAACUUGUGGUGCUCAGUGGAUAUCAGGGAAAAAUCUGAUUAAAAGUCAUUGCUAAAAUCUCUUUUACAAUGGAAAUCUGUUUUCAAUCUCUACUGCAGAAGAAAUAAUAUAUCUCUGGUAAUGCUUGUUGAAAAGUUGUUGCCAUGAAACUGUGCAGGCCAAGAAGAAAAAAAAAAUCUCUGUCUUGGCUUGGUUUACAGAGCUGUGCAAGGAAAAAGAAUGUACAAAGCAUGCUUUUACCCUCUGUAUUGCCUGUGACUGUAAAAGGUUACAGCCCACGGGUGAAAGGGGCUUCUUAGAGAUGUUACUUGCAGUCCUCUUCAAAAGGAGCAAGAAGGUGGUAGACCCUUGACUGCAGUCAUCCCCAUUUCCCCAGGUCCAGGCUAAAGUAGCUGCUAUUGACUGGCAGGGGCUGGCCUGGAGAAAAACUCUCCUCUUAGAUAUCUCAGUAAUACUGUGAUUUGAGUAAGCUCUUGUCUGUAACCAUGUCCAUAAGCUACCUGCUGCUCCCAGAGAUGAGUACAGUGGGUUCAGGAGUAACAGAUUUGGAGAGAAAAGGUGGUGUUAAUCUGGUAAUGCAGCAUGGAAGGGGCUGUGUGAGCAAUAGAGAAGGGGCCUGGUAUUGGGGAAGCAGCUCAACAGGAAAGCAUGAAGAUGGGUCUUUAAUGUACUCCAAGGUGGAUAUUCUUAGGCUAUAUCCGGUGGCCUUAAUUUAACCUCUUGGUAAGUCCACCAACUUCCUAAGGGUUAGGCAUAGCCUACAGGUUGGUUUGCUACUCUGCUUUGAGGGCAUUUGAGGCCAUUAAAAACCUCUUUUUAGAAGAGCGUGGCUGACUGUGGGGUCUGAUAGAGUGGGGGAGUUCGUCUGGUUUAGACAGUAUGCCUUGAGGCUGUUCACUCAGUGGGGAGCCGAUUAGAGCAGCUAGUCAACAUGUAAAUUCACCUUCCUUAUCACUUCUCUGUGAACUACCUCUGGAUUAGAGUCGUUCCUCAAUGAAACUGAUAAUCAAAGUGGAUUUUUUAAAAACUGAAUUUAUUUGGUCUUUUUCUGAAAAAUAAACCUUAGUUUUUGU